GAAAUGCGAUAAGUAAUGUGAAUUGCAGAAUUCCGUGAAUCAUCGAAUCUUUGAACGCACAUUGCGCCCUCCGGCAUUCCGGGGGGCACGCCUGUCCGAGCGUCAUUGCACCCCCUCAAGCCCGGCUUGUGCGAUGGGCGCCCAUCCCCCCAAGUUCCGGGGGGGAUGCACCCGAAAGGCAGUGGCGGCGGCGGCACCCGAGGCCCGAGCGCAUGGGGACCCUUAAGCGCGCUCCGCGGCAGGGGCCGACGCCCGCCGGACGUUUCCAGUGUCUUCCCCAGGUUGACCUCGGAUCAGGCGGGGAUACCCGCUGAACUUAA
rnacentral:misc_RNA from 1 species